CCCUUUCUGCGUGACGAGAGAGGACGGUAGCGCAGGAAUAAGUCUCGGCUAACUACGUGCCAGCAGCCGCGGUAAAAACGUAGGAGACAAGCGUUAUCCGGAGUUACUGGGCGGUAAAGGGCGUGCAGGUCGGUUUGUUAAGUUCGUUGUGAAAGUUCCCGGACUAAACCGGGGAAGGUCGACGGAUACUGGCAGACUAGAGGACAGUAGAGGCGUGUGGAAUUCCGGGUGUAGUGGUGAAAUGCGUAGAUAUCCGGAGGAACACCAGUGGCGAAGGCGGCACGCUGGGCUGUACCUGACGCUAAGACGCGACAGCAUGGGUAGCGAACGGGAUUAGAAACCCCGGUAGUCCAUGCCGUAAACGAUGCCAACUAGGUGUUCGCACUGCGAGAGCGGUGUGGGUGCCGCAGCAAACGCGAUAAGUUGGCCGCCUGGGGAGUACGGUCGCAAGGCUA
rnacentral:rRNA from 1 species